rnacentral:rRNA from 1 species
AGAGUUUGAUCCUGGCUCAGGACGAACGUUGGCGGCGUGUCUAAGGCAUGCAAGUCGAGCGGAUACCAUUUUUUAGCAAUAUUAGAUGGUGUUAGCGGCAAACGGGUGCGUAACACAUUGGUAAUCUACCCCCCAGUCGGGCACAACUCGCCGAAAGGCGAGCUAAUUCCACGAUGGGCAUGCGGGGACAUAUGUCAUUCGCAUGUAAAGCGCAAAACGCGCUGGGGGAGGAGCCUAUGGCCCAUCAGCUUGUUGGCGGGGUAAAAGCCCACCAAGGCUACGACGGGUAGGGGGUGUGAGAGCAUGACCCCCCUCACUGGGACUGAGACACUGCCCAGACACCUACGGGUGGCUGCAGUUAAGAAUAUUCCUCAAUGGCCGAAAGGCUGAAGGAGCGACGCCGCGUGCAGGAUGAAGGGCUUUGGCUCGUAAACUGCUUUUAUUUGGGAAGAAUUCUGACGGUACCAAAUGAAUAAGAGGUUGCUAACUCUGUGCCAGCAGCAGCGGUAAUACAGAGACCUCAAACGUUGUCCGGAUUUAUUGGGCGUAAAGGGUCCGCAGGUGGCCAUGCACGUCGAGGGUUAAAUGUUAGGGCUCAACUCUAACACCGCUCUCGAUACGGCGUGGCUAGAGGCUGGGAGAGGCAUACGGAAUUGCCGGUGUAGUAGUAAUAUGCGUUAAUAUCGGCAAGAACACCAAAAGCGAAGGCAGUAUGCUGGAACAGUUCUGACACUCAGGGACGAAAGCGUGGGGAGCGAAAGGGAUUAGAUACCCCUGUAGUCCACGCCCUAAACGAUGGAUG